rnacentral:lncRNA from 12 species
UUAGAAUCACACGGAAACAGCCAUGGGUGGUUCCAGUGCUCCUAUUUGAAGCGUGUGUAAUAAAAAGCUGGAUCAUAGGGAAGAGAGCUACAUCUGGAAAAUGCACUGCGCACAAUGUCUGUGUUCUGCACUGUGAAAGCUGAGUCCAGAGACAAUUUAAAGGAAAAUAAUUGCAGAAAACAAAUAAAGUGGUUGCUCGGUGCAUUUCUCAGCUCCAUGGUGCCUACUGGGUCUUAGGACAGCACUCUGGAAGGUUGUCCUGGCUUCUAGCUUCGUUUUCUUCUGUCACAAGACAGCAGUUAUACUGAAUCACACCCCGUGUAGGUCUAGUCUGGUCUCCUGUCUCUAACAAUGAUCAAUAAAAGAUUUUGGGGAAGAAAUGGGGGGAAAUCGUAUACUAAGAUCUGUUAGCAUGUAUUCCAUUGCCACACAGACCGCUCUCCCUGCCACCAAUGAAUGUGAUAGAAGACGUUAUGCAUUGAUAUAAGCUAAAACAAUGAACUUUUUGUUCCAUGAACACAUGCAGACAGUUCUGAAUCUCUGUAAAUGUUUAAUAUUGACAAUGGUUUGUAGUAAGGAAUUUCAUAACUUAACCUG